rnacentral:rRNA from 1 species
GUGGGGAAUAUUGGACAAUGGGCGCAAGCCUGAUCCAACCAUGCCGCGUGAGUGAUGAAGGCCUUAGGGUUGUAAAGCUCUUUCAGUGGGGACGAUAAUGACGGUACCCACAGAAGAAGCCCCGGCUAACUUCGUGCCAGCAGCCGCGGUAAUACGAAGGGGGCUAGCGUUGUUCGGAUUUACUGGGCGUAAAGCGCACGUAGGCGGAUCGUUAAGUCGGGGGUGAAAUCCUGGAGCUCAACUCCAGAACUGCCUUCGAUACUGGCGAUCUUGAGUCCGGAAGAGGUGAGUGGAACUCCUAGUGUAGAGGUGGAAUUCGUAGAUAUUAGGAAGAACACCAGUGGCGAAGGCGGCUCACUGGUCCGGUACUGACGCUGAGGUGCGAAAGCGUGGGGAGCAAACAGGAUUAGAAACCCUAGUAGUCC